UACGUAGGGUGCAAGCGUUAAUCGGAAUUACUGGGCGUAAAGCGUGCGCAGGCGGUUGUGCAAGACAGAUGUGAAAUCCCCGGGCUUAACCUGGGAACUGCAUUUGUGACUGCACGGCUAGAGUGCGGCAGAGGGGGAUGGAAUUCCGCGUGUAGCAGUGAAAUGCGUAGAGAUGUGGAGGAAUACCGAUGGCGAAGGCAGCCUCCUGGGCCAACACUGACGCUCAGGCGCGACAGCGUGGGGAUCAAACAGG
rnacentral:rRNA from 1 species